GUAGGUGAACCUGCGGAAGGAUCAUUACCGAAGUACAGGCCCUUUUAUAGGGCUACACUUCCACCCUUUGUUUACCAUACUAUGUUGCUUUGGCGAGACGUCUUCGGACCACCGGCUCCGGCUGGUUAGUGCCUACCAGAGAACCACAACUCUGUAAUAAAUGUCGUCUGAGUACUAUAAAAUAGUUAAAACUUUCAACAACGGAUCUCUUGGUUCUG
rnacentral:misc_RNA from 1 species